AGUCUGGACCUUGACCAUCUCUCCCCCUUCUGACCCAUGUUCUAACCAUCCCUCACCUGCAGAAUCACAGCCACCUCCUGACUGGGCUCCCAUCUCUUCCUUGCUUCUCUUUCAGCGUCCUCUCAUCUCAGCCAUCAGAGGGAACCUGUGAACAGAAUCAAAUCGUGACUGGCUCUUGGACCCUCAGUGUACUCAGAGUAAAGCCCUUCCAGUGGUCUACGAAGCCCUAGCCGGCCUCCCCUCCACCACCACCUCUCUGCAUUUCCUCUCUGAUGUGAUCUGUUUUUUACUCUAUCCCCCCCUCAGCUCUAGUCACCCCGGCUUCCUUGCCAUUCCUCUGUGGACCAAGCACAGUCCACCUCAGGACCUUUGCACCCCCUGUUCCCACUGCCUGCAAUGCUCUUGCCCCAGAUAACAGCCCACUGCCCCCUCUUGUCUGCCAGGUCUUUAACCAAAUAUCCCUUUCCAAUAACACCUUCCCUUGCCACCCCAUCUGAAACUGCAAACGCACCCCUGACGCUGGCCCUUCGUGUCUUCCUCCCAUUUUCGUCAUCUCCAAGGCAUUAUCUACGCCUAACACACGUCUUCAUUGUAUUUGAAAUUUUUUUAAAAACUUAUUUAUUUAAUUUACUUCUGACUUAUUUAUGCUAGUCCUCUUCUGUUUCCCCCACGGCAGCAUCCACAAGGUGAAGUGGUUUUCGUCGGCGUGUGCGGUGCUAUCAUCCCAGCACCUUGUGCUGGUUCUCGAUAACGAUUUGAUGAGUUGAGUGAAAUAGAGUGACUUUCCUACUGCCCCGUUAGGGAUGUGGUGGCCUUCAGUCCCCACCCCAUCUGUCUCACCCUGAUGGACAGUGGCCAAGGCGAGGGCAGGGGACCGGCAGUGGUGCAAAGGCCACAAGGGCCAGAGGAGCCUGCCCUGGGAGAAAAUCCUUCAAGUGGGUCAGCGGCCAGCCGAGCGGGAGGAGCGUGCAAUCGCUCUAAGGAUCGGGGGUGCGCACAGCCCGCCUCCUCACCUCUGUGCGUGGAGCUGCCUCAUUUCUGGGGGUCAGUGCCCUGGGGGUAUCCUUGGGGGACCCUUGUCAGGAGUAACAAGGACGUGGAGGGGCGUUCUCCUGUCUCACCCGACCCAUUGUUGGAUCAAUGCCCUGUGUUCACAUCUGAUCACUGGUGAGGUUGAA
rnacentral:lncRNA from 1 species